rnacentral:misc_RNA from 1 species
GAUGAAGAACGUAGCGAAAUGCGAUAAGUAAUGUGAAUUGCAGAAUUCAGUGAAUCAUCGAAUCUUUGAACGCACAUUGCGCCCCUUGGUAUUCCAUGGGGCAUGCCUGUUCGAGCGUCAUUUGUACCUUCAAGCUUUGCUUGGUGUUGGGUGUUUGUCUCGCCUUUGCGUGUAGACUCGCCUUAAAACAAUUGGCAGCCGGCGUAUUGAUUUCGGAGCGCAGUACAUCUCGCGCUUUGCACUCAUAACGACAGCGUCCAAAAGUACAUUUUACACUCUUGACCUCGGAUCAGGUAGGGAUACCCGCUGAACUUAAGCAUAUCAAUAAGCGGAGGA